rnacentral:rRNA from 1 species
AACCUUAUGGUAGAAUAUAAGGCUCUUUCUGCUCCAUGGGAUUCUAAAUAGCCGCAGUACUCUGACUGUGCAAAGGUAGCAUAAUCAGUUGACUUAUAAUUGGAGUCUAGUAUGAAUGAAUAUACGGAUAGCGACUGUCUCGGAGAUAUUUUAAUUAAUUUAGUUACCAAGUGCAAAUACUUGAAGUUUUAAGAAAGACGAGAAGACCCUAGAAACUUAUGUUUAUUUUGUUGGGGCGACAGAAUUACAAAUAACUAAUUUUUUUAUUACAAGAAACAUAGGUGAGAGGGCAAGUUACUCUAGGGAUAACAGCAUAAUUUAUACUUACGUUUGUGACCUCGAUGUUGGACUAGGUAUAGUAGUUUUUAAAAGAACCUAUUUAGCGCUCUGUUCGAGCAUAUUGAACCUACAU